rnacentral:rRNA from 1 species
AGAGUUUGAUCCUGGCUCAGGAUGAACGCUAGCGGCAGGCCUAAUACAUGCAAGACUAGGGGGCAGCAAUGUCACCGUCGCACGGGUGCGUAACGCGUAUGCAACCUACCUAUCACAGGGGGAUAGCCUUUGGAAACAGGGAUUAAUACCGCAUGAUACUAUUGGAUAGCAUUAUUUAAUAGUUAAAGAUUUAUUGGUGAUAGAUGGGCAUGCGUCUGAUUAGUUAGAUGGUGGGGUAACGGCCUACCAUGGCGAUGAUCAGUAGGGGGCGUCAGAGCGUGGUCCCCCACACUGGCACUGAGAUACGGGCCAGACUCCUACGGGAGGCAGCAGUAGGGAAUAUUGGGCAAUGGAUGCAAGUCUGACCCAGCCAUGCCGCGUGGAGGAAGAAGGUCCUCUGGAUUGUAAACUCCUUUUUUGGGGGAAGAAGAGACAUCUUGCGAGGUGUUGUGACGGUACCCUAAGAAUAAGCCACGGCUAACUACGUGCCAGCAGCCGCGGUAAUACGUAGGUGGCAAGCGUUGUCCGGAUUUAUUGGGUUUAAAGGGUGCGUAGGUGGUUUAUUAAGUCAGUGGUGAAAGCUGAUUGC